rnacentral:lncRNA from 1 species
CCUUACAAGGUUUUACUCUUUGUUCGAUUGAAUAAAAAAAAGUACUCGUUGCAAUGUUAUACUGUUAGGGCUCAACUGAGAAGUCUAACGUUGUUCCGAUUUUGGUUCUUGUGAACGUUGACAUCGAUUCGUUCCAUAUUUACACUCUUGGGGUAUAAUAGAAAACUUUUACUCCUUGUUCGAUAGAAUAAGAAAAAUUACUCGUUGCAAAGUUAUACUGUUAUGGCGCAACUGAGUAGUCUAAUGUUGUUCCGGUUUUGGUUCUUGUGAACGCUGACAUCGAUUCGUUCUAAAUUUACACUCUUGGGGCAUAAUAGAAAGCUUUUACUCCUUGUUCGAUAGAAUGAGAAAAAGUACUCGUUGCAAAGUUAUACUGUUAUGGCGCAACUGAGUAGUCUAAUUGUCACGCCCCGCCCCAAUCCCGCUACCAAUUUGGCGCGGUUCGGGCGCGGCGGGCGUGAGGCCGAACAGACAGAACCUCCCCUGUCCGCCCUAGGCUCACAACGAGAUUGUGUACAACAAGUCCCCAGGAACAAUCAACUUGUAAACAUACACAAUCAACCACGACGACGAGAGCACAAACAGUGCUAAUACAAGCGAGAGCAAGCGAUACGAGUAAGUAACAUACAAGUAUACAAAAGAGAGAUAAACUUAACUAUUUAAACAUAAAACUUUGAUACAUUAACCUCUUUUAACAUCAUUAAACUUUACCCAUUUAAUACAACUUGCAUUCUUUUUCAAAAUGUAAAUACAUACAUCCUCUCAAACCUCACCCUAUACAUCAUCUACUCUCAAAAUGUAAACAUAGGGUAGGACUAAUGCAAUAUAGGAAGCAAACUAUCAACCAACACCGCUAGGGCGCUACGCCCUUGCCGCGAUCCUCCCGCUCGCCGGGAAUACUCGAACUAGCACCUGCAACAUGGUGGGGUGAGAACUACGAAUAGUUCCCAGUGGGUUCGGCCGCCGACUCCACCGAUCUACCCACUAGGUCUAAGCAGGCAUAGAGAGAUAUAUAUGCAAGUAUAUAUAAAACUAUGCUAAACUGAAGGCAGGUAUGGAAACUGAGCAGGUAGCUAGUGUAAGUAAGUAAGUAAAGUAUGAACAUCUAACUAUGCCUCAAUCUGAUAUCAUGAAUGCAUGAACAAUAAACAAAGCUGGGUAAGAAGCUACUAUCAUGAACAACAAUAAGGCUAUGUAAACAGCUAUGCUGAACAACAGUAAUGAGUAUGACUCGAUAGGUAAUCAAAUCUCAAGGUGAACUCAAGGUUCACUAUCUCAUCUCACNUCGGUCUUGAGUCAAUUAACUGCGGAUAAUCCGCCCUCAGUCAGGCUCGAGGUGAAGGACGUCUCACAUGCACCUCAGUCUUAAAUCCUCUCGACUAUAGGUCUACUCACAGGGUGAGGAUAUCCGUCGAACCCCGGACCACAAGUCGCUCAAUGGACCCACG